AUCUGGGAGGACCAUCUCCUAAGGCUAAAUACUCUCUAGUGACCGAUAGUGAACCAGUACCGUGAGGGAAAGGUGAAAAGCACCCCGGAAGGGGAGUGAAAUAGAACCUGAAACCGUGUGCUUACAAGUAGUCAGAGCCCGUUAAUGGGUGAUGGCGUGCCUUUUGUAGAAUGAACCGGCGAGUUACGAUUUGAUGCAAGGUUAAGCAGUAAAUGUGGAGCCGUAGCGAAAGCGAGUCUGAAUAGGGCGUUUAGUAUUUGGUCGUAGACCCGAAACCAGGUGAUCUACCCUUGGUCAGGUUGAAGUUCAGGUAACACUGAAUGGAGGACCGAACCGACUUACGUUGAAAAGUGAGCGGAUGAACUGAGGGUAGCGGAGAAAUUCCAAUCGAACCUGGAGAUAGCUGGUUCUCUCCGAAAUAGCUUUAGGGCUAGCCUCAAGUGAUGAUUAUUGGAGGUAGAGCACUGUUUGGACGAGGGGCCCCUCUCGGGUUACCGAAUUCAGACAAACUCCGAAUGCCAAUUAAUUUAACUUGGGAGUCAGAACAUGGGUGAUAAGGUCCGUGUUCGAAAGGGAAACAGCCCAGACCACCAGCUAAGGUCCCAAAAUAUAUGUUAAGUGGAAAAGGAUGUGGCGUUGCCCAGACAACUAGGAUGUUGGCUUAGAAGCAGCCAUCAUUUAAAGAGUGCGUAAUAGCUCACUAGUCGAGUGACACUGCGCCGA
rnacentral:rRNA from 1 species